rnacentral:rRNA from 1 species
UACGUAGGCAGCAAGCGUUGUUCGGAAUUACUGGGCGUAAAGAGUGUGUAGGCGGUGCUCUAAGUUUGGUGUGAAAUCUCCCGGCUCAACUGGGAGGGUGCGCCGAAAACUGGAAUGCUUGAACAUGGGAGAGGAAAGCGGAAUUCCUGGUGUAGCGGUGAAAUGCGUAGAUAUCAGGAGGAACACCUGCGGUGUAGACGGCUUUCUGGACCACUGUUGACGCUGAGACACGAAAGCGUGGGUAGCAAACAGG